rnacentral:tRNA from 2 species
GCGACCAUGGCGGAAUUGGCAGACGCGUAACGUUGAGGUCGUUAUGAAGUAAAAUUCGUGCAGGUUCAAGUCCUGUUGGUCGCACCA